rnacentral:rRNA from 12 species
GACUCUCGGCAACGGAUAUCUCGGCUCACGCAUCGAUGAAGAACGUAGCAAAAUGCGAUACUUGGUGUGAAUUGCAGAAUCCCGUGAACCAUCGAGUUUUUGAACGCAAGUUGCGCCCAAAGCCUUUCGGCUGAGGGCACGUCUGCCUGGGCGUCACAC